rnacentral:rRNA from 1 species
AUUGAACGCUGGCGGCAGGCUUAACACAUGCAAGUCGAACGAGUGGCGGACGGGUGAGUAAUGUCUGGGAAACUGGCUGAUGGAGGGGGAUAACUACUGGAAACUGUAGCUAAUACCGCGUACCAUAAGAUGAGCCCAAGUGGGAUUAGGUAGUUGGUGAGGUAAAGGCUCACCAAGCCGACGAUCCCUAGCUGGUCUGAGAGGAUGACCAGCCACACUGGGACUGAGACACGGCCCAGACUCCUACGGGAGGCAGCAGUGGGGAAUAUUGCACAAUGGGCGCAACCCUGACGCAGCCAUGCCGCGUGAAUGAAGAAGGCCUUCGGGUUGUAAAGUUCUUUCGGUAGGGAGGCGUUAACUGCAGAAGAAGCACCGGCUAACUCCGUGCCAGCAGCCGCGGUAAUAC